rnacentral:rRNA from 1 species
ACGAGUGGCGGACGGGUGAGUAAUGUCUGGGAAACUGCCCGAUGGAGGGGGAUAACUACUGGAAACGGUAGCUAAUACCGCAUAACGUCGCAAGACCAAAGAGGGGGACCUUCGGGCCUCUUGCCAUCGGAUGUGCCCAGAUGGGAUUAGCUAGUAGGUGGGGUAAAGGCUUACCUAGGCGACGAUCCCUAGCUGGUCUGAGAGGAUGACCAGCCACACUGGAACUGAGACACGGUCCAGACUCCUACGGGAGGCAGCAUG